UCCGUACCCAAAGGGCAAAACGAGACCCUAUUACUAAGACUCCGCUGUCCGUCUGUCACCAGGCUGCCUCUCAUGAAUCGUGAUAGUUAGACAGUUGAAAUUUUCACAGAGUAUGUAUUUCUGUUGCCGCUAUAACAACAAAUGCC